AGAGUUUGAUCAUGGCUCAGAUUGAACGCUGGCGGCAUGGUUAAAACAUGCAAGUCGAACGUGCGCAGCAAUGCAUAAGUGGCGAAAGGGUCAGUAAUGCGAUCGAACGUACCCCGAGGUGGGGGAUAGGGCGGGGAAACUCGCCAUAAUACCCCAUGAUGUCUUCGGACCAAAGGUUUACCGCCUUGGGAACGGCGAUCGGCCUAUCAGCUAGUUGGCGGGGUAACGGCCCACCAAGGCGAUGACGGGUAGCUGGUCUGAGAGGAUGAUCAGCCACACUGGAACUGAGACACGGUCCAGACUCCUACGGGAGGCAGCAGUGGGGAAUUUUGGACAAUGGGCGAAAGCCUGAUCCAGCGACGCCGCGUGUGCGAUGAAGGCCUUUGGGUCGUAAAGCACUGUCGACAGGGAAGAAAACUCAGCGGCUAAUAAUCGUUGAGCUUGACUGUACCUGUGGAGGAAGCACCGGCUAACUUUGUGCCAGCAGCCGCGGUAA
rnacentral:rRNA from 1 species